rnacentral:lncRNA from 1 species
UGCCUCCUUGGGCCCACUUUCCUUCAGAGGCAGCACAAGCAGCAGAAGAUGGGCCUCCUCCUCUUUUCAAUUACUGUGGUCUGAAAAUAUUAAAGAAAACUACCAGAUGAAAAGAACUCAUAAGUUGGAAAUUGUUCUAUUUAAAUUUACUGUGGAGCUGAAUACUUGGGUCUCAGACAUAUUUCUGCCUACAUUCCCAGGAAAUUUUAUCACCAGUCUUCAAUGUGAAUUGAAUGAGGGACAGCAACUUUUUGGUUACUCAUCAAAGACGUUCCAGGCCCUGACCUGAACAAGGAAAUCAAAAUAAGAAUCCCUGCCACCACGGUGAAAUGAUGUGACGACUAAGCUGACAGAUGGAUGUUAAUGAGGAACAUGGUCCAGCUGCUGCAAAUUAGCAAAACUUCCCAGGAAGAGUCCAUCCAGAGGUUCUGCUAUCCUGCUGCCGCGGGACUGCCUGUGGCCGGGAGUCCGGCACUAAAAAGAUUCCAAGGGCCUACAUCCCCAAGAGGCUGUGGCGCAUCUGGACCCAAGCCAUGGUGAGAGUGGCAGUGACUUCAAAGGUCUCCAGGACUCACUAGGCAACACUACCCGACGUUUACAGAUUUUAAAUGCAUCUCAAUCCCACAGGAAAUUUUUUUAAAACGUUAACAUAUUUUCAUACAUGUAUUAAAGGGGACUUUAAAAUGAGAUUGCAUAAAUGAAAAUAUGUAAAUACUAUAUGCUUCAUAGAGAAAUCAAAUGGGAAGUAAGAAGAACUAGAUAUGCAUUAUAU